GACAGAGGUGCCAAGCGUUAGGCGGAAUCACUGGGCUUAAAGCGUGUGUAGGCGGAUCGUUAAGUACCUUGUGAAAUCCCACGGCUCACCCGUGGAACUGCUGGGUAUACUGGCGAUCUUGGGCCAACUAGGGGCAGCUGGAACAAGCGGUGGAGCGGUGAAAUGCGUAGAUAUCGCUUGGAACGCCAAAGGUGAAAACAGGCUGCUGGGGUUGUGCCGACGCUGAGACACGAAAGCCAGGGGAGCAAACGGG
rnacentral:rRNA from 1 species